rnacentral:rRNA from 1 species
GAUGAACGCUGGCGGCGUGCCUAAUACAUGCCAGUCGAGCGAACAGAUAAGGAGCUUGCUCCUUUGACGUUAGCGGCGGACGGGUGAGUAACACGUGGAUAACCUACCUAUAAGACUGGGAUAACUUCGGGAAACCGGAGCUAAUACCGGAUAACAUAUUGAACCGCAUGGUUCAAUAGUGAAAGGCGGCUUUGCUGUCACUUAUAGAUGGAUCCGCGCCGUAUUAGCUAGUUGGUAAGGUAACGGCUUACCAAGGCAACGAUACGUAGCCGACCUGAGAGGGUGAUCGGCCACACUGGAACUGAGACACGGUCCAGACUCCUACGGGAGGCAGCAGUAGGGAAUCUUCCGCAAUGGGCGAAAGCCUGACGGAGCAACGCCGCGCGAGUGAGGAAGGUCUUCGGAUCGUAAAACCCUGUUAUCAGGGAAGAAAAAAUGUGUAAGUAACUGUGCACAUCUUGACGGUACCUGAUCAGAAAGCCACGGCUAACUACGUG